rnacentral:tRNA from 1 species
CCAUAGGUAGUAUACAUGGUUAACAUGUUUGGCUGUUAACCAAAAGGCUGUCAGUUUGAGUCCACCCAGUGGU